rnacentral:lncRNA from 1 species
UUGAAAUUCUCCCUCCAGCAAUUUCUGACAGGGCAUGGGGAUUUUCUCCGGUGUCACCAUACUUCAGCAGGAGUGACUGUGUCAUCCAGGUGCAGGUAUUCUUGGUUGUCCUUUACCUGUUGUCUCUUCUUGUCACACAUAGCUAAGAAAGCAGAUGAUAGGUUCAUCUCUAUUACAUGGGGAAUUACCAAGUGGUUGCCUAGCAACUCACACAGCACAGUCAACAUGGUCUCUGUUGUGGAAUGUAGAGUGGUUAGCUUUCUUUUCAAGAAUGUAUUUCCAUACUUCUUUUGGGUUUCUAGAAAAGAAGGUACAUUUCCUGGAUUUGAGCUUUAGCCACAGAGAGUAUCUGGGACCAGAAACACAGGAUCUCUAUUAAAAGAACACGAAACGUCACUUCCACACGACCUGCAAUUUCUAGAAUGGAGAGAAAGCUUCAGUAAACAUUCAGUAAUAGCAUGCAACAAAGAUAUGAAGUUAUGAAGAGAUAGUUACUGGAUCAAAAUAGAAGAAAUGAUGCCUGGCAGCUAGAAAAAAAUAUUCAUGUGCAUUGAUUACACAAUAAACAA